GACGAACGCUGGCGGCGUGCCUAAUACAUGCAAGUCGAACGAGAGCGACCGGUGCUUGCACUGGUCAAUCUAGUGGCGAACGGGUGAGUAACACGUGGGUAACCUGCCCAUCAGAAGGGGAUAACAUCCGGAAACGGAUGCUAAAACCGCAUAGGUCUUCGAGCCGCAUGGCUUGAAGAGGAAAAGAGGCGCAAGCUUCUGCUGAUGGAUGGACCCGCGGUGCAUUAGCUAGUUGGUGAGGUAACGGCUCACCAAGGCCGUGAUGCAUAGCCGACCUGAGAGGGUGAUCGGCCACAUUGGGACUGAGACACGGCCCAAACUCCUACGGGAGGCAGCAGUAGGGAAUCUUCCGCAAUGGACGCAAGUCUGACGGAGCAACGCCGCGUGAGUGAAGAAGGUUUUCGGAUCGUAAAACUCUGUUGUUAGAGAAGAACAAGUGCUAGAGUAACUGUUAGCGCCUUGACGGUAUCUAACCAGAAAGCCACGGCUAACUACGUG
rnacentral:rRNA from 1 species